UACGUAGGGUGCGAGCGUUGUCCGGAAUUAUUGGGCGUAAAGAGCUUGUAGGCGGUCUGUCGCGUCUGCUGUGAAAAUCCGGGGCUCAACCCCGGACUUGCAGUGGGUACGGGCAGACUAGAGUGUGGUAGGGGAGACUGGAAUUCCUGGUGUAGCGGUGAAAUGCGCAGAUAUCAGGAGGAGCACCAAUGGCGAAGGCAGCUCGCUGGGACGGUACUGACGCUGAGACGCGAAAGCGUGGGGAGCAAACAGG
rnacentral:rRNA from 1 species